AGCUUAUUGAUUUUAUAGUAGGUGUUUUCUGCCCGGUGAUUUAUUUUAACGGCCGCGGUAUUUUGACCGUGCAAAGGUAGCAUAAUCAUUUGUCUUUUAAUUGGGGACUGGAAUGAAGGGAGUGACGAGAGAUUGGUUGUCUCUGUUUUUUAUUUUGAAUUUUCUUUUUAGAUGAGGAAGUCUAUAUUAUAGAGAAAGACGAGAAGACCCUAUUGAUCUUUAUUUUGUUAGAUAAAUUUUUUAUAUUAUUUUUUAUUUUUUAGGAUUUGGUUGGGGCAAUUGGGGAGGAAUAUUUAUUCUUUCUUUAUAUAUUUUGAUCCUGUAUUAUGGACAGUAAGACUUAGUUACCAUAGGGAUAACAGCGUAAUUUUUUUGGAGAGUUCAUAUUGAUAAAGAAGAUUGCGACCUCGAUGUUGGAUUAAAAUUUCCGAAGGGUGUAGGUUUUUUUCGGGUGGGUCUGUUCGACCUUUAAAAUUUU
rnacentral:rRNA from 1 species